ensembl:rRNA 5S_rRNA 5S ribosomal RNA
GUCUACGGCCACAACACCCUGAACGCACCUGAUCUCAUCUGAUCUCAGAAGAGAAGCAGGGUCGGACUUGGUUGGUACCUGGAUGGGAGACUACUUGGGAAUACUGGAUGCUGUAGGCU